AAAACUGAAAUGCCUCUGAAAUAUCAUCUAAAAUAAAAACCGCAACCUGACAAUUAUUGAGUAAAAAAUCAAUAUCUUGUUCCGAAAAGUUUACUGAAACGAUCCUUUUAGCGACAUUAAAGUUCUGAUAAAUAUUGUGAUGGCUAAUAUCACUAUUAAAUUUUUGCUUGCUCAUGAAAGCAUCAAUUUUCUCCGAUAUUUCAUUUAAAUCUUCGUUUAGAUGCUCUUGCUUUAAAUCUAAUUCUGGCUUCUGAAUAAUCGCCCAAACAAGCAGCAUUAAAGUUAAAGUUCGUUGCUGCCCAUCUACAAUAUCUAUAUUUUCAUCACUAUCACUAUUUGGAUUACGAUGUAAUACGAUACUACCCAAUCGAUAUGCAGAUUUA
rnacentral:rRNA from 1 species